rnacentral:rRNA from 1 species
GACGAACGCUGGCGGCGUGCUUAACACAUGCAAGUCGAACGGAAAGGCCCUGCUUGCAGGGUCCUCGAGUGGCGAACGGGUGAGUAACACGUGGGUGAUCUGCCCUGCACUUCGGGAUAAGCCUGGGAAACUGGGUCUAAUACCGGAUAGGAGCCAUUUUUAGUGUGAUGGUUGGAAAGUUUUUUCGGUGUAGGAUGAGCUCGCGGCCUAUCAGCUUGUUGGUGGGGUAAUGGCCUACCAAGGCGGCGACGGGUAGCCGGCCUGAGAGGGUGGACGGCCACAUUGGGACUGAGAUACGGCCCAGACUCCUACGGGAGGCAGAAGGGGGGAAUAUUGCACAAUGGGCGCAAGCCGGAUGCAGCGACGCCGCGUGGGGGAUGACGGCCUUCGGGUUGAAAACGCAUUUCGCUAGGGACGAAGCUUUUUGUGACGGUACCUAGAUAAGAAGCACCGGCUAACUACGUG